rnacentral:snRNA from 1 species
GGAUGUGAGGGCGAGCUGGCUGCGACCUCUGUUACCCCAUUGAUCCCAGGGUUGAUCCGGCUGAUCCGACUGGCUAGGCAGGUCCCUCCUGAAGCUGCCUGCUGGGUCUUGAACGGAGGACGACCGGUCUUCGGCCACAGGCAUACGAGUAACCACGAUCCCCUGGUAGAACCUCCAAACAAAGUCAAAGGACGCCUUUGGGUUUUAUUUUUAAUAUUUUUUUAUUUAUUUAUUUGAGGAAGAGAGACAA